UCAUAUGUACAUGCCUACAAUGUUAAUGCAUUGGAUCCCAUUAGAAAUCUGCAGUUAAGAGCACUUAGGAUAGAGUAGUACUCGGAUGGGUGACCUCUUGGGAAUUCCUAGUGUUUUACAUGCC
rnacentral:rRNA from 1 species